rnacentral:rRNA from 1 species
AUUGAACGCUGGCGGCAGGCUUAACACAUGCAAGUCGAGCGAGCGGCGGACGGGUGAGUAAUGUCUGGGAAACUGCCUGAUGGAGGGGGAUAACUACUGGAAACGGUAGCUAAUACCUCAUAUCAUCAGUUGUGCCCAGAUGGGAUUAGCUAGCAGGUGUGGUAAUGGCUCACCUAGGCGUCGAUCCCUAGCUGGUCCUAGAGGAUGACCAGCGACACGGGAACUGAGACACGGUCCAGAGUCCUAAGAGAGACAGCAGUAGGGAAUAUUGCGCAAUGGGCGCAAGCCGGAUGCAGCAAUGCCGCGUAUGGGGUGGAAGCCUUCGGGAUGUAAAGCGCUUGCAGCGAAAAGGCGUUACUAGCAGAAGAAGCACGGGGUAACUCCGUGCCAGCAGCCGCGGUAAUAC